CUGCUAUGUCGACCCCUUCGUAUAAUGAUCCACAUAGUAGUAAGAAUGACUUGCCACGGUAUGAUCACUAUUAUGAUGCUAAUGUUCCUCUGCGGCCACCUCAUUCAUCUGAUAUUCGUCAGCAAUAUCUAGAUGACCCACCAGUGUUGCGGUCUACUAUGCCUUCUUAUUAUGUUUAUUAUCAUCCAGCAAGGGAUCCUUACCAUCGCCGCUUAAAUGACAGAGAGCGUCUGCAGAAGGAUACCAUCACGGAUCGUUUUGAUCAUUCUCCAAAUGAUUGGAGGCAAGAGUACAGUCGAAAUAAUGGACAGUUACGUACAUCUGAUCGUUCUCAUCAUUUGCUUGGAUGCUCUGAGCUUCAUCGUCCUGUGCAUCCACCACCAAUGCAAUAUCGAGGGCCGACGACUACAAUUCCCGAUUUCAGUCGGGAUGAUCCCCGAGAGUUUUCCCGUCUUAAGCUUGCGUUAAACAACGUUCUUCCUGAAGACGCUUCUGAGUCGUUUAAGUUCCAAAUACUUAUGGACCACCUUAAGCUGGAAGACGCCUUACUUGUCGCUGACUCGUAUAGUCACAGUCGUACUCCAUUCAGUGACACUAUGAGAGCGCUCACUGAUAUGUAUGGGCAGCCACAUCAAUUGGCACUGCAAAGGAUCACUAAUCUGAUGGAUGGGCCCAAUAUCAGGAGCGGGGAUGUGAAGUCUUUCAAGGCAUUUGCCCUUCGUGUCCGAGCACUGGUUGGAAUGUUAAACCAGUUGGGUAACACAGGUUGGACUGAGCUGAAAUGUGGCUCACAUGUUUCUCGUCUCUUAGCUAAAUUGCCGUAUGACCUAAGAGCUAACUUCAAGAGAUUCAUUAACCCCCUUCAGACACCUGUUCCAACUCUGAUUGAUUUCGCAGAAUGGCUGGAAUAUGAGGUUCGUGUACAGGUAGAAGGAACACAGUAUGGGUCCUAUUUUGAGCACGUGAAACACAGUGUUCACAAAGACAAGCGAACUGGGUUUGUGCCCCGAAAGCCGACUACUGUCCUACAUUGCAAAGAGCAGAAAGUAGGAUCAGUAGAGCUCCCAAAGACUGAAUGCAUGGACUCAGAAAGACCACAGGAGAAGCCAAAAAAGUAUUGUCCGUUCUGUAACACAAUUCACCACUACAUGAAUCAGUGCUCUAACUUCAAACUCUUAACUAAAGAGCAAAUUGAGAGUUGGAUCAGAACAGGGCAUAUAUGUUGGCGUUGCGGACGAGGGCAUUCUUUCUCUAAAUGCACGUUAAAGGCGAAAUGCAAGCGGUGUGAACGGAGGCAUCUUGAUGUUCUUCAUGAAGUCAAUGCCAACACCGAUGUGAUGAGUAAAAGUAAUAACCGGACAUCGGAGGAAAGUUCAGUAAGCCCUGCUUCUCAGGCCCUAUACUUGGAUCGACCUACGAGUGGCAAGCAAGUGCUACUGAAGUUAAGUCGAGUAAUCAUUCAGAAUGGUGAUAAGUCAUUAGAAACCUACGCUGUACUAGACGACGGAUCUGAGCGGACUAUCUUGUUGAAUGAAGCUGCUCGACGUCUAGACCUUCAGGGUGAAAUUGAAGAUCUGGCUCUGCGCACAGUGAGACAGGAUGUCCAUACCAUUCAUGGAAGAUCUGUAUCCUUCUCCAUAGCACCAUUUUCACACCCUGACAGAUCUUACCCGGUCAAGGGUGCAUUCACAGCAAAAGAGCUAGCCCUAGUUCAGCAUACUUACCCCAUCUCUGACUUGCAAAGAAGAUAUCACCAUCUCCGUGACUUACCUUUACAUGACAUCCAUGAAGCACAGCCCUUGGUACUUAUCGGCUCAGAUUAUCCUCACUUGAUAACCCCUGUUGAGCCAGUGAUAUUGGGUCCUCCUGGAGGUCCAGCGGCGGUUCAUACAAUGCUCGGCUGGACAUUGCAAGGUCCCUCAAGGCUUAUUAAGCCUCACUUGCAGGCUCAAGAAUGUUUAUUCAUUUCUUGUGUUUCUCCUGAAGCUGAGCUCUUCCGUCAAGUCAAAAAGCUUUGGCAACUGGAUACUCUUCCUUAUCAAUCUGAGAAAGUGGUCAGUCGAUCACGACAGGAUGCAGAAGCUAUUCGCCUCCUAGAGGAGAAAACCAUCAGGAUCGAUGUGAAUGGGGUAAAAAGGUACGCCACACCUCUACUCUGGAAAGAGUUGCCUCCACCUCUG
ensembl:lncRNA